rnacentral:rRNA from 1 species
AUUGAACGCUGGCGGCAUGCUUUACACAUGCAAGUCGAACGGUAACAGGCCGCAAGGUGCUGACGAGUGGCGAACGGGUGAGUAAUGCAUCGGAACGUGCCCAGUCGUGGGGGAUAACGCAGCGAAAGCUGCGCUAAUACCGCAUACGAUCUAUGGAUGAAAGCGGGGGACCGUAAGGCCUCGCGCGAUUGGAGCGGCCGAUGUCAGAUUAGGUAGUUGGUGGGGGAAAGGCUCACCAAGCCAACGAUCUGUAGCUGGUCUGAGAGGACGACCAGCCACACUGGGACUGAGACACGGCCCAGACUCCUACGGGGGGCAGCAGUGGGGAAGUUUGGACAAUGGGCGCAAGCCUGAUUCAGCAAUGCCGCGUGCAGGAAGAAGGCCUUCGGGUUGUAAACUGCUUUUGUACGGAACGAAACGGUCCUGGUUAAUACCUGGGGCUAAUGACGGUACCGUAAGAAUAAGCACCGGCUAACUACGUGCCAGCCGCCGCAGUAAAAC